UGUUUUUUUCUUAACAGAAGAAAAAGCUUAAAAAUUUAAGCUCACAGUUGUCAUACAAAGUACAAAACUCAAAGAAGGGCCAGAUGAUUGAAGCUUAAAUAUCUCCUCAUAAGGGAGUGAGAAAUGAGAGUGGUCAUCCUUGUCUUGUUGUGUUGAGACUAGAAAUGAUGCUAGACAAAAAGUGAAUUCCAGCGAUUUUCUGAUUCAAGUUCAAAAUGGGUCAGAAAGCAGCAGAGAUAACUUGCAACAUCAACAACGCACUUGGCCCAGGAACUGCUGAUGAAUGCACAGUGCAGUAAUGGUUCAGAAAGUUUUGCAAUGGAGACUAAAGCCUUGAACAUGAGGAACAUAGUGGCUGGCCAUUGAAAGUUGACAACUAUCAAUUGGGAGCAAUCAUCAAAGCUGAUCCUCUUACAACUAUAUGAGAAGUUGUUGAGGAAGUCAACGUUGACCAUUCUAUGGGUCAUUUGGCAUUUGAAGUAAAUUGGAGAGACGAAAAGGCUCAAAAAAUGGGUGCCUCAUGAGCUGGGCAAAAAUAAAAAAAAAUGUCAUUUUGAAGUGUCGUCUUCUCUUAUUCUGUGCAACAACAAUGAACCGUUUCUCUAUUAGACAGUGAUGUGUGAUGACAAGAGGAUUUUACAUGAGAACUGGUGAUGACCAGCUCAGUAGCUGGACCAAGAAGAAGCUGCAAAACACCUCCCAAAGCCAAACUUGCAUCAAAAAAUGUCACAGACACUGUCUGGUGGUCUGCUGCCUGUUUGAUCUACUACAGCUUUCUGAAUUCUGGUGAAACCAUUACAGCUGAGAGGUAUGAUCAGCAAUUUGAUGAGAUGCACCAAAAACUGCAAUGCCUUCAGCCGACAUUGGUCAACAGAAAGGGCCCAAUUAUUUUCCACGACAAUGCUUCAUCACAUGUCACACAACCUGCUUCAAAAGUUGAAUGAAUUGGGCUACGAAGUUUUGCCUCAUCUGCCAUAUUCACCUGACCUCUUGCCAACCAACUACCACUUCUUCAAGUAUUACAACAAUUUUUUGCAAGGAAACUGCUUCCACAACCAGCAGGAUGCAGAAAAUGCUUUCCAAGAGUUCGUGGAGUCCCAGAGCAUAAAUUUUUAUAGUACAGGAAUAAACAAACAUUUCUCAUUGACAAAAAUAUAUUGACUGUAAUUGUUCCUAUUUUGGUUAAUAAAGACGUGUUUGAGCCUAGUUUUAAUUAUUUACCAUUCAUUGUCUGAAACCAUGAUCACUUUUGUACCAACCUAAAUUAAUUGUUAUAAUGCUUUUUGUUUGGAAUACAAACAAAAGUAUGCAUUUAAUAGAAUAUUCAGAAGAAUAACAGAUUUACAUUAAGACCGACCACAAAAUGGACUUGCGAAGUCAACAAUAUACUUUAACUAUUAACAUAAAUAUUAAAAUACAGUGAAUGACAUCCAAACUCACUACUUUUUGGAAUUUUCAGAUAGAAAGGGCCCCAGAUUGAAACCAAUGCAGUUGUAUUAACCAUCUCUCUCAUAAGUGCACUUGUAGACACACUUUCCCACCAAAAUAUUAUUGUAAAAACCAUGUAGUGAGGAGUAGAAUUUUAUGAUGUAUUAAGUGAUGCCAAACUCGAACUUCUAGGCCCAACUCAGAGUAACAAUAACACAAAAAAAGAUAUUUGUGUGUCAAAGGAUAUAACAAAGUUCUGCUAAAAACAAUCCACCUGGCUGUGGCUACCAUUCUAAACUUUGUUAAUCUAUGUAUAUGCAAAUAUGCAUCUAAAAUCCCUAUAACUAAAGUUGUUGGAAUUUCUUAUUGUAAAUAUUUUUGCUCACUGUAACAUAAUGAUCUUGUUGACACUAACAAAAGUGAGAAUAUCUAACACUGAACAAUUUUUGACUCUGUUCUGUUUUCCUUAGCCCAAGAAGUGUAGUUUUGAGGAUUAUAUUUCCUUACUAGUUGGCAUGCAACUGUAGGCAUUUGUUGGGUAAACUUGCCCUUCUCUUUCAUCCUUCAGUGCCCUGAAAGCCACACCACUUCUCUUAUUCAACCCCGUGCUCCAGCAGGUCAGGCUCAUCUCCAAAUCCAUCCUGGGCCUAUCUCCUUAAAUAACCUUCUCCUUUACCACCCCCCAGCCCCACUAUGCCACAGGCUUCAUUUUUUAUAAACAUAAAAUUCAAAAGGGAUGCCUCUCUGUGAUUUUGCUCCUGCAUCAACAUUAAGUCCACACAUUGAGUGUGGUAUAAAGAACUCAGAGUGAAUUUAUUUAUGCUAUUAUUCUUUUAAAAUAGGUCUGUUGCUAAUAGGUCUCUGGGUAUGCAUACAAAAUUCACACAGCUAUAAAGAGAAAGAAACAAAUGCCAGAUACACAGUACCAAGCUGAGAAACCAAAUGGUACGCAGAGACAAUGAAGGAGCUGAGCUUAGAGGUUAGCAUUGAAACCUAGCCCUGACUGCUAUUUGGAACAUCAAGCAUCCUAAUGAGUAUAGAGCAUUAUAUGAUUCUCAAGUAAUAAAGAAGUUUGGCUUCAGUGCCCUCAUUGUGACUGCAUAUGGUCAACAGUUUAAGGAGAAAAUGAAAUAAGAAAAAAAAUGCAUUUUGUAGUCUCCAUCAAAGAAAGAAAUGAGUGGUAAUAUUUUAGCUCUUCUCCCUACCUCAUAAGGUUAAUUAAUUAAUAAUAUAAUUAAAAUAGUGCAAAAUAUAGUAACUGCCCAAGAUAGUCAAAAUAAAGAUUCUAUUUCUAUUAAAGUUGAUCUAAGAUUGCCAAAAAACCAAAACAUUACUGGCAUUUGGUCAUCUGUGUUGAAGGAUAGAUAUUCUGUAAAAAGUUUAGAGAAGCUCUUAUCCAGAAUUAAAGGAAUUGUUCAUUUUACUGUGAGAAAAUCCUUAAGUGCCUUCAGAUACAGUGCAAACUGCUACAUCUAAAGAAUGCUCAGUGACUUAAGUGUGGAACAGUGUGCUUCUAGCUUGGAAGCUGGAGGCCCAGUCUUGGGAAACAUCAACUUUUGGGUCAGCUGUUGUGCACACAUCCCACAACAUCCGGAGCAACAGAUUAUGUGCCGAUAAUCUUUUCCAGUCACCAGUUUAGAGCUCAUGGAGAAAGACAAGGAAAAAGGAAAGGAUCAGAAUUCCUGCCAAUCCUCUGGUCUUCAAGCCUCUGCCACAGCUGCUGUAUUUUGUCCAAACAAAAAGAUUUGAAAAUGAACUUUCCAGUUUUAUCUGACAUUCUUGUUUGUUCAAAAUGUGGUCUCCCGUCACCAUCCCUAUAUCUCCAAAGAUUUUAAUAAGAAUUGCAAUUAUUUUGGCAAUUUGAAAUCACUAUUUCUGAAGUAGGUUUGAGUGCUUGUAUAAGUCUCUCAGCAAGAUUAUUUGUAGUUAGACAGGAAACAUUUGUUUUUUAUUUAAAUGUAAAUGGAUAUUAUGAAGCAGAUUCACUGUGCAUUGGUUAGCACCUUGUCUGAGUCUGACAAUGUAGAGCAUACUCAUACACAACACAUUGCACAAAGUGGAUUUAUUAUUUACACAUUGGCAGUAAGGGACAAAAGAAGCAUCAACUUCAUUGCGAACCAGUUCCUCAAAGCUCAAGAAAGCUGCCUGGGGCAUAUAGAGUCUACACUGCAUGUGGCCCAAUUUGCACCACAACUGAGGGAGCCCCACAGGCAGCCUGCCAGGGUUAUAUACAUUAGGGGCACCAGGACUCACUGGCAAAGGCUUGAAGGAUAUCCCUCUUCCAGAGGAGAGAGGAGCAAAGCUAAAGCUGUCUCAGGCAGUUGCUGCCUAACUCAAGAUGUUAAGUUUCCUAAGAGUAACAGGAACAAGGUCCCAAAUGUUUGAGGCAGCUCCUCCCUAUCUGAGUUCUUGCAUUCUGGGCAUAUCCUAGUUACUCCUGAGAACUACAGGCAAGAAAGUGGAGAGAGCUGGUCAGUCCGAGGCCACCAGAGAACUGCUCUGCAUAUAUUUAGUGACUAACGAGUUUGGCUAAUAAUAUAUCUUUAAGUACUGAUGAUCAGAAAAGAUCUGUUUUAAUUAUUGCUAUAUUGUUUCAUUAUUGUUUAUCUUCUUUUCAUCCCAUGUAAUUCUAAAUACAAAUCUCUGAAAAAUUAAGGGUAAGAUAAUUUUUUUCUUGACUAAUUUUUAUGGUUGCUUACAAUUAGGAAGUAUGUCAAAUAAAUUCACCAUAAAUAAAUCGACAUACAUCAACAAAACAUCCCAAACUCAGUUGUAUUAAUUUUCUUAAGACAUAAUUAUUUAUGAAGAGCUGAGCUUUUGCUACCUUUUUAAGCUCCAAAUCUUGUGAAUAGGCCAAAAAGUCACUUCCACAAACAUUUAUAGAGAAUUUAUUAAAAUUGAGUCAAUGGUAAGUGUGAGAUUCAAAAAUGAAAAGUGAAGUAUACCUUCAAGAAAUAUACAAUAUUCACUGUAACACAGUGCAGAAUAAGCUAGUGCAGUUAAAGCAUAAACAAAAUGCUCAGGGAAACUAGAGUGGGGACCGAUGAGGAGAAGGAAGAGCUUGAUGGAAUAAAUGUUAAAUAAUGUGAAUUUUUAAUAAUAAAUGUAGGUAGGCAAAGAAGAGAGGAAUUUACUAUAGGCACAAGUUUGUAUGGAGAUUAACAAAAUGUAGUCCCUAUGCACAAAACCAAGAUCAAAACUAGCAAUAUGGUGAAUAGAAUUUUGCUCCCCAAUGUUGAGUCUAACAAGGAUUAGACAUUCCCAUCUCUCUUCUCAGCUUUGUUUUUCUCCAUAACACAUUUUAUACUCUCAUAUAUUGUAUAGCUUAAUACGUUCAUAUUUAUUGCCCAACUCUCAGUGGCAGAGUGCUAGCUGUGCACACACAGAUUUCCUGUUCUUGCUUGAUUUACAGCUAAAUACGUUUUCCAUUCUCCCUUCUAAUUAGGUAUAUCCAUGUGAAUGAGGUUUAGCUAUAGUCACCCUUGGAGUGUGUGGGGAUCCCAGAAAAUACAUUUUGUAGGUCCCUCAUCUAUUUAAGAAAUUUGAUCAAAAAUGUUAUUACAGAGGUUAUGCACUCAUGCAAGUUAUAAUCAGUGGAAUUUAGAAUUAGCAGUGAAAAUUUAAUUGAGAACAUGUACUUACGUUUGAUUUAUCAUCCGAUACAUGAAAAGGUUCUCUUUAGCAUCCAUUAACCAUGUCUUCCUAGUCAGGUGAAGGAACUUCUCUGGGUUUCUUAUUAUCAAACAUACCAUUUCUGGCUAAUUUCUUAUUUCCCACUGUGAGAAAAAGAUAACAAUGUUGUUAUUACUCACAAUGCCAUGAAUUUUUGGAACUGCUUUGUAUUUAAACCACAUAUAUCCUCUUGCCUCUGCAGGUCCCUAAUAACAUUUAUUUAAUGCUGGUUGCAUCAUUGCUCAAGACAUUGCAUGAUCCAUUAUGCUGCCCAAGACUACCAGUUUUCAAUGACUUUCCCAGAGAUUCUUAUUCUGCUUUACUGAUGAUGACCACAAAUGCAAGAACUAUCCAGCGUGCAGGAUAGUGUGAAAGAUGAUUCAUUUUCUGAUCAUUUAAGAGUUACUAUUUGGGAAGCACAAUGGCACAUCUUUCAACCAUAUGUCAUCUGGAACUCUUUAGGCAAAAAAAAAAAAAAAAAAAAAAUCACUGUAUUU